rnacentral:rRNA from 1 species
CGAACGGGUGAGUAACGCGUGAGGAACCUGCCUCAAANAGGGGGACAACAGUUGGAAACGACUGCUAAUACCGCAUAAGCCCACGGGUCGGCAUCGACCAGAGGGAAAAGGAGCAAUCCGCUUUGAGAUGGCCUCGCGUCCGAUUAGCUAGUUGGUGAGGUAAUGGCCCACCAAGGCAACGAUCGGUAGCCGGACUGAGAGGUUGAACGGCCACAUUGGGACUGAGACACGGCCCAGACUCCUACGGGAGGCAGCAUG